rnacentral:rRNA from 1 species
UCCGUAGGUGAACCUGCGGAGGGAUCAUUACACAAUAUGAAAGCGGGCUGGCAUCCUUCGGGGUUACAGCCUUGCUGAAUUAUUCACCCGUGUCUUUUGCGUACUUCUUGUUUCCUUGGUGGGUUCGCCCACCAUAGGACAAACCAUAAACCUUUUGUAAUUGCAAUCAGCGUCAGUAAAAAAAUUAAUAAUUACAACUUUUAACAACGGAUCUCUUGGUUCUGGCAUCGAUGAAGAACGCAGCGAAAUGCGAUAAGUAAUGUGAAUUGCAGAAUUCAGUGAAUCAUCGAAUCUUUGAACGCACAUUGCGCCCGCUAGCAUUCUGGCGGGCAUGCUUGUUCGAGCGUCCUCAAAAACCCUCAAGCCCGGAAGACUUGUCUUCGGCGGCCUGGUGUUGGGAUGCCGCGGCUGCCGCGGCUCCCUAAAAUCAGUGGCGGACCUCCCGGUGGCCCUGGCGUAGUAAUUUAUCCUCGCCUUCGGCUUCCGGGAACGCCCUGCCCCGAGCAAACCAUCUCAACCAUUUGGACCUCGAAUCAAGUAGGAAUACCGCUGAACUUAAGCAUAUCA